rnacentral:snRNA from 2 species
GUGUUCACUUUAGCAGCACAAAUACAAACGCUGAAAUAUAAAGAAGAUUACAGUGGCCCCUGUGCAAGGAUCACAUCAAUUCAUGAAAAGUUGUCCAUAUUUUU